AGCGAACGCUGGCGGCAGGCCUAACACAUGCAAGUCGAACGAACUCUUCGGAGUUAGUGGCGGACGUGUGAGUAACACGUGGGAACGUGCCUUUUGGUUCGGAAUAACUCAGGGAAACUUGUGCUAAUACCGAAUGUGCCCUUCGGGGGAAAGAUUUAUCGCCAUUAGAGCGGCCCGCGUCUGAUUAGCUAGUUGGUGAGGUAACGGCUCACCAAGGCGACGAUCAGUAGCUGGUCUGAGAGGAGGACCAGCCACACUGGGACUGAGACACGGCCCAGACUCGUACGGGAGGGAGCAGUGGGGAAUCUAGCGCAAGGGGCGAAAGCCUGACGCAGCCAUGCCGCGUGAAUGAUGAAGGUCUUAGGAUUGUAAAAUUCUUUCACCGGGGACGAUAAUGACGGUACCCGGAGAAGAAGCCCCGGCUAACUUCGUG
rnacentral:rRNA from 1 species